rnacentral:rRNA from 1 species
AUUGAACGCUGGCGGCAUGCUUUACACAUGCAAGUCGAACGGUAACAGGCCUUCGGGUGCUGACGAGUGGCGAACGGGUGAGUAAUGCAUCGGAACGUGCCCAGAGGUGGGGGAUAACGCAGCGAAAGCUGUGCUAAUACCGCAUGUGAUCUGAGGGUGAAAGCGGGGGACCAGGCAGCAAUGUUUGGCCUCGCGCCUUUGGAGCGGCCGAUGUCAGAUUAGGUAGUUGGUGGGGUAAAGGCCUACCAAGCCGACGAUCUGUAGCUGGUCUGAGAGGACGACCAGCCACACUGGGACUGAGACACGGCCCAGACUCCUACGGGAGGCAGCAGUGGGGAAUUUUGGACAAUGGGCGCAAGCCUGAUCCAGCAAUGCCGCGUGCGGGAAGAAGGCCUUCGGGUCGUAAACCGCUUUUGUACGGAACGAAAAGGCUCUGGCUAAUACCUGGGGCUGAUGACGGUACCGUAAGAAUAAGCACCGGCUAACUACGUG